rnacentral:rRNA from 1 species
UGACGGUACCGGAAGAAUAAGCACCGGCUAACUUCGUGCCAGCAGCCGCGGUAAUACGAAGGGUGCAAGCGUUACUCGGAAUUACUGGGCGUAAAGCGUGCGUAGGUGGUUCGUUAAGUCUGAUGUGAAAGCCCUGGGCUCAACCUGGGAAUUGCAUUGGAUACUGGCGGGCUAGAGUGCGGUAGAGGAUGGCGGAAUUCCCGGUGUAGCAGUGAAAUGCGUAGAGAUCGGGAGGAACAUCCGUGGCGAAGGCGGCCAUCUGGACCAGCACUGACACUGAGGCACGAAAGCGUGGGGAGCAAACAGGAUUAGAUACCCUGGUAGUCCACGCCCUAAACGAUGCGAACUGGAUGUUGGGUGCAACUUGGCACUCAGUAUCGAAGCUAACGCGUUAAGUUCGCCGCCUGGGGAGUACGGUCGCAAGACUGAAACUCAAAGGGAUUGACGG